rfam:Norovirus Hu/GII.4/Shenzhen76-06/2006/CHN polymerase gene, partial cds.
AGCGGCCAUCCGCACCACAUGCGGAAAAACGACUGCUGGAACGGGGAAUCCU